AAUCCUGUUUGAAAAAAAAAACGAGUUCACAAUGUUAUAGAGCCAAUCAAUUACAAUAAAAAACAAUAUUAAACUUUUUUUUUUUUUUUUUUUUUUUUGGCGGACACAGUGACGUCACAGCUUGAACUGUCAUGGCGGCGGAAGCUCGGUUUGAGGAAAGCGAAGUUAAACCGUGUGUCGGCGGAGACUCGUCUGUGGGACUCGCAGAGAAGAUGAUGUUUCAGACAGUGACAGCAAACCGUCCACCACUACGACAGAGCGACACAUUUCCAUCCAGAGUCGCAUCGAGGACCUGGAGGCUCUGGUCGACCUGGACGGACCCGGGAAGAAGGCGUGUCCGCUCUGUCCGGAGGAGAAGUUUAAAUCCUCUUACAGCCACAAACUGAGGAGACACCUCCAGAACCUGCACUGGAAGGUCUACAUCGAGUUCCAAGGUCUGUGUGAACAUGUUUCACUUUAAAUAUCCUGGUUUUCACGGC
rnacentral:lncRNA from 1 species